rnacentral:rRNA from 1 species
UACGUAGGGUCCGAGCGUUGUCCGGAAUUAUUGGGCGUAAAGGGCUCGUAGGCGGUUUGUCGCGUCGGGAGUGAAAACACGGGGCUUAACUUCGUGCUUGCUUUCGAUACGGGCAGACUGGAGGCAUGCAGGGGAGAACGGAAUUCCUGGUGUAGCGGUGGAAUGCGCAGAUAUCAGGAAGAACACCCGUGGCGAAAGCGGCUCUCUGGAACGGUACUGACGCUGAGACGCGAAAGCGUGGGGAGCGAACAGG